rnacentral:rRNA from 1 species
GACGAACGCUGGCGGCGUGCCUAAUACAUGCAAGUUGAGCGCUGAAGGUUGGUACUUGUACCAACUGGAUGAGCAGCGAACGGGUGAGUAACGCGUGGGGAAUCUGCCUUUGAGCGGGGGACAACAUUUGGAAACGAAUGCUAAUACCGCAUAAAAACUUUAAACACAAGUUUUAAGUUUGAAAGAUGCAAUUGCAUCACUCAAAGAUGAUCCCGCGUUGUAUUAGCUAGUUGGUGAGGUAAAGGCUCACCAAGGCGAUGAUACAUAGCCGACCUGAGAGGGUGAUCGGCCACAUUGGGACUGGGACACGGCCCAAACUCCUACGGGAGGCAGCAGUAGGGAAUCUUCGGCAAUGGACGAAAGUCUGACCGAGCAACGCCGCGUGAGUGAAGAAGGGUUUCGGAUCGUAAAACUCGGUUGGUAGAGAAGAACGUUGGUGAGAGUGGAAAGCUCAUCAAGUGACGGUAACUACCCAGAAAGGGACGGCUAACUACGUG